AGGAUAAGUGCAUUAUGUUUAUGUGGUGAUUUGCCCUUCUGUAGCCA
rnacentral:misc_RNA from 1 species